CGGGUCGGUCCGCCUCGGGCCUCGACCCUGGCCGAGCAAGCCCGCCAUGGAGGGCGAUGGCCCCUCCGCCGCCGCCCGGUACCAGCCAGCCAGCCCCCCGAGAGAUGCUUGCGUUUACAGCAGCUGCUACUGUGAAGAAAAUAUUUGGAAGCUCUGUGAAUACAUCAAAAACCAUGACCAGUAUCCUUUAGAGGAGUGUUAUGCUGUCUUUAUAUCUAACGAGAGGAAAAUGAUACCUAUCUGGAAACAACAGGCAAGACCUGGAAAUGGACCUGUGAUCUGGGAUUACCAUGUUGUUUUGCUUCAUGUUUCAAGUGGAGGACAGAGCUUCAUUUAUGAUCUGGAUACCGUUUUGCCAUUUCCCUGCCCAUUUGAUACUUACGUAGAAGAUGCCUUUAAGUCUGAGGAUGAUAUUCAUCCACAGUUUAGGAGGAAAUUUAGAGUUAUCCGUGCAGAUUUAUAUUUGAAGAAUUUCGCUUCUGACCGAUCUCACAUGAAAGACUCCAGUGGGAACUGGAGAGAGCCUCCCCCACCAUAUCCCUGUAUUGAAACUGGAGAUUCCAAAAUGAACCUGAAUGAUUUCAUCAGUAUGGAUCCUGAGAUUUUGUGUCCCUCUUGAUGAUCUGAAAUACCUAAGAAUGUCUGAAUUAUCGGUGAGAACCAUGGCUUUAAAAUGUAUUUAUCACAUGUGCCUUCUUGAAGAUGAUCUGAUCAUUUGGGUUUAAUCACACAAUUCUAGAUAAAAGAUAUUUGGCAUUAAACUGGCAUAUAGUACUAGCUUUCAUUUAAGUUGUCAUGGUUCUGCCAUAAAAACAACUUCUUACAGCAAGGAUGUCUAAGCUCCUGUUUUCAGAUGAGUUUUCUACUUAAGAAAAUGCCACUUGAAAGGAAUCCUUUGCCGUUUGUGUUGGAGUGCACAACUGUGAUCAUUUACUCAAGGAUCAGUCUAAGGAAGUAUCACUUAAUCCAGUUGGUUCAGCUGAUCAGAAAGAUUCGGGGAGAAAAGUCAUUUUUAGUCCUGUUCAAGAGGACCCCGUGGGAGGAUGAGAGUGAAGUCUGAAUGGAGAGGAUUGCCAGAGAACCAGAGGCUGAGGGACUGAUGGCAGCUGGAAUAGAAUGCUUCUCCCUUGUCCUGAGAAUUAAAAUUGGAGAAGUCCCCAGAGAUGGGAAUCUUCCAAGAUCCUAUGAACAGUGCCUCGAGUGAGAGACAGCUCUGUCCUGCUGCAAAGCCCAGUGAGCAGGAAGUCAGCUUGCAGCAGUGCCAGGCAGAAGCCAGUUAAAGUAGCUCCAGAUGUGACCACUUAAUGUUUUGCCUUCUAAUUGGCCGUGAGAUCCAGAAUAGCAGCUAGUGACGGAGGAGGCUUAUGAGGCAGGGGUGCAAGGUGGAAGACGGUGAUGGCAUGUGGGCCCUGGCUGUCCCUCAUCUCCCCCCAAAUUGCCAGCUCUCACUGACAAGGGGAGAAAUCUUCUGAAUGAAUUGCUGAUUAAUAUGAUGGACUCACUCGUUGAAUUACUCUGUUUGUGAUGUGACCACCAGAAUGUCAUUACGUGAAAGAAACCGCAGCACACAGGGGCCUGCAGUUUCUUCGUCCUGGAGUUAAGGACAAGCUCCUUUCCUGUCACUGGUACACUUUCUCCACCCACUGGAAAACUGAAUACAUUUUAAAAGGAUAACAGGAGAAAAACGAAGUUGCAUUUUGAUUAUGUUAACACAUCAAUUGCAUAAAUAACUUGGAAAUAAACAUCUUCUAUGUACAA